CCCAAUCCAACCCGCGGCGCUUCCUCACACUCCGGUUGUGUUUGUCUCGCACUCGCAUUCGACUCGCCCGCCACUCAUCCGUACAUUCGGGCUCCCUUUUCUGCCGCGCCCUGUUUUCGCCCCUGCUUGUCAUACUGUCGCCCGGCCAUUGCUUUGCUGCAUACUGUUGCAUUUUCUCUGUGUUGCAUUUGGUGCUCAUCCGUGGACGCUGGUCAUCUUCCUGCAGGUGCGAUGCGGCACUGCCUCGCGAGUGUGGCGUUGCGGUGUGUCUGUGUGGUGCUAUCGCCUGGCCGGGCGCCCGGAGCGUGAGGAAUGCGCAUCAGCAAACUUGCAGCCAGCCAGCAACUCGUCGGUACAGUAACUCCGGCGUUCGACCGGCCGCGUACUCCUGCCCUGCCGUUGCAAAUUGUUUGUCAUCUGCUGGGUUCUGGGAAUCAGCUGCACCCUACGGGACUUCACCAACCUGCCUUGACACUGUCCCAUUCACACACCCUGCCCUGAUACUGGCCCCCCUUCAGGCCACGACCCGCCGACUUCUCGACUUCGGUGCGGGCCGGAUCGCCAUCCCCUUAUUUCGAUGACCAUUCGAGAUUCAUGGCACCCCUAACGGUUACCU
rnacentral:lncRNA from 1 species